rnacentral:lncRNA from 1 species
CUGGUCCCCUGGGAGGUCAGUGCAGGGUUCCUCCAUUUUGACAUGAGUAAAUUCUAGAUUAGGUAUUUGGCAGUUAACUCAUCUGGAUAUAUGGGAACAGAAGUGCCAGACACGUAGAUAAUAUUUGGAGAACAGGAGCAGACUUGGAACAUGCUGAAUAGAGGACAAGGAAGCUUAAAGUGAAGCAAUGUCAAUGACAUUCUACUAGCAGAAGCGGUCUGUGUAGCUGAGGAAAAUGAGAAGAAUGUAUAUUCUGUGAUUGUUGGAUGAAGUGAUCUGUAGAUGUCUAUCAGGUCCAACUGGGUACAGCAAGAAGCUGGUCAUCAGUAAGCCAGGAAGAGAGCCCCACCAGGAGGAGUCUUGCUCGGUCACCUCACCCAGGCUAGACUGAUGAUCCAAUAGUCAACUGUCAUUUAUUUGAAAAGGAAAAUGUAAAGGGUAUCAUCAGACAAACUUAAAGAUGAUCUGACAAUGUCAUUUUCCAAGGGACUGAUAGAAAGAUUGAGUAUCAUGGAAUCAGAACAGACAACAGAGAAUCAGGUUUGGACUGAAUCAGAAUAAACAGGCAAUGCAGACACUUGUUCUCUGAAUCACAAUCAAGACUCAGUGCUGGAACAGAGGAAUCAACUUACUCUGGUGAGCUUUGUUGAGAGUAGAUUUUUUGAGGAAAGAAUUGAAGGAGUGGCCAUAUUCAUACUAGAAUAAAACAUAGGAGAUGUCAAGAUUAUCUGAAGGAGGGGAGAGAAGAGACACCAGAUACUUGCAGACACAGAAGAAAUACCAUGUGCAAACAUACCCAGAAGACCACCAUCUGCAAGAGA